rnacentral:rRNA from 1 species
AGUAACGCGUGGGUAACCUGCCUCAUACAGGGGGAUAACAGUUAGAAAUGACUGCUAAUACCGCAUAAGCGCACAGUGCUGCAUGGCACAGUGUGAAAAACUCCGGUGGUAUGAGAUGGACCCGCGUCUGAUUAGCUAGUUGGUGGGGUAACGGCCUACCAAGCGACGAUCAGUAGCCGCCUGAGAGGGUGACGGCCACAUUGGGACUGAGACACGGCCCAA